UCCAUCAUAGUAAUGCAGUGAGAGCUCUCAACAUUUUGAGCAGGGUCUUGGCCAGUGGCCAAAUAUACAGCAGAGACGAUGUUGCUGGCAUGAGCAUUGAAGCCACCGAGGGCACCAGCCAUGGCUGACCCAGUAAGGUUUUUAAGCAUGUUCAGCUCCACAAGAGCAGCAACCUCAGUUUUCAACACUUUCUUCACUACAUCCUCCUUGAUUAUUGCCUCGCAAACUACUGAUUUUCCUCUACCUUCAAUCCAGUUAACUGCUGCUGGCUUCUUAUCCGAACAAAAGUUCCCAGAUAUGCCAAUGACGUCCAUGUCUGGAUAUUCACUCUGAAGGUAAUCCAGAACGUUCUGGACACCUUUGGAUACCAUGUUCAUUCCCAUUGCAUCACCAGUGCUACAACUGAAUCUCAUAUACAGAUUUUUACCAGCUAUAGCACAUUGAAUGCCCUGUAAUCGAGCAAAUCUGCUUGAUUUGUUGAACAUAAGAGAAAGAAUCUCAAAGUUAAGGGGAUCCUCAACGAAGAAUUUCAACUCUGCGGCUCUUUUGGCGGUGGUGAACCGGACAACCGGAGCUCUUGUCAUGCCAUCUCUGAGCAAAAUGCUGUUGGCGCCACCAGAGACAAAGAUAGCCUUGCAACCCCUGUUGGUGCUAGCAACUAAACACCCUUCUGUAGUUGCCAUUGGCACUGAGUACUCUCUCCCAUCAAGCAACAAAGGCCCUGCAAUACCAACCGGUAUUUGCACAUAUCCUACAGGCAUCUCACAGCAUUGUCCAAGAAUAGACUCAUAGUCAAAUCCUUCCAAUGGGAGCCCUUCCAAUGACUUCCCUGUGAUCCUCUGUAACGCCUCUUUUCGAA
rnacentral:misc_RNA from 1 species